GGCCUCGUAACUCAGCUGGUAGAGCGUAUGCGUGCAAAGAGUAGACGGCGUCCAUGCAUGGGUUCGAAUCCCACCGAGGCUA
rnacentral:tRNA from 1 species